GACGAACGCUGGCGGCGUGCUUAACACAUGCAAGUCGAACGAAGUGGCGAACGGGUGAGUAACGCGUAAUCAACCUGCCCUUCAGAGGGGGACAACAGUUGGAAACGACUGCUCAUACCGCAUACUGAAGGAGGGGAUUGCGUCUGAUUAGCUUGUUGGAGGGGUAACGGCCCAACAAGGCGAUGAUCAGUAGCCGGUCGGAGAGGGUGAAGGGCAACAUUGGGACUGAGACACGGACCCGACUCCUACGGGAGGCAGCAGUGGGGAAGUUGUCGAAAUGGAAGAAAGUCUGACGGAGCAACGCCGCGGGAGUGAUGACGGCCUUCGGGUUGUAAAGCUCUGUUAAUCGGGACGCGGUACCGGAAUAGAAAGCCACGGCUAACUACGUGCCAGCAGCCGCGGUAAUAC
rnacentral:rRNA from 1 species